ACUUUACGAAUUUUGUGCUACGAAGACGCUUGCGUACGCUCAUUUUAUUUUCCAAAAACUUUGAUCGUGUGAAAUGUCCUGCCGUUUUCCAAGUAGUGUUUUUGUUGUUGUGUUUUGUAGGUCGAUGAGUCGUCGCGAUGAUAGGUGUGACGAGUAAUGUACCGAUGCAGCCGGGUUUGUGAAAUACUUGUCGCUAGUAGGCGCCGCGGUCAUUGCGGCGUAUUCGGGCACCGAUCGAGUUUGCUGAGGAAUUUUGGAGCAAGUAAAGGUGAAUCGUUUGGAUCUUGAAGGUGACUGCCACCUGCGUCGUAGUGUAGCUGCGUUUCUAUAAGAAGAGAAAUCGUGAAAUUGCAUUGAAAAGCAGCCGUCGUUAUCUGUAUUUUGGUGAAAUGUUGCAACUUGAAGCCACUUGCCGCCGGGUGUCGAAGCGGAGCUGCGCUUUUAAAAGAAAGGAAAUCGCAGCGAAAAGCAGUCGAAGAUAUCCUGA